UAGCAAUGUUCGGAGUAGCACACUACCAUACUACGACCAAAAAGCACAAGGAGGCCCGGAAUCAUGGUCCGGAAAUAAACAAGGAGGACGAGUCUUUAUGUAUGAAGUUAUUUCCUGGUUCAACAGUCACUAAAUGCUGAUUAGAAGAUUGUAGAGCCGAGGAGGGCGGGGCCAGGCUGGAAUGACGCACGCCCGGUCCCCAAUCAGCCUGAUGGGGCGCGCGAGGGAUAAAGGCGGCCGGGGACGACAUUUCGAGAGAGAAUUACAGGCAGCUGCCCUGUGUGUGGUUAUGUUUGUGUGUUUUUGGUUAAAUUGUACAUUAAACUAUUAUUUAAGUUGUCAAGCUGGUUCUCGCCGCCUCCUUUCCCUCUAUCCCCCUUUCAAAGAUCUUGAGAGAGACCUGAAAAUCUGGAGAAAACAAAACUAUAAACCCAAAAGGUAAAUAAAAAUGGCUACCAAAAAAAUAAAUGGAAACAAAAACAAAGAACGGCAAAACCAAAAUGUAAUAAUAAAAAAUAAAUAAAUAAAUAAAAACCCAGAACAAAAUAAAAAUACUAAAACAAAAACAAACAAUAAAACACAAAUGUAAACAAAAAACCAAACGAACCAUAAAAUGUAAAGAAAAACAAAAAAUUAAAAAACCAAAACUAACCAAGACAACAAUUUCAAUAAAACAAAUGAAAAAAAUAAAUGUUGUGCGUUUAGGUGUUUGCAUUAUAGUUCAAUUCAGGGGAAAACAAGCUAUAUCAAAAUACACAUGCACACGUCACAAGCUGUAUCAGCUGCUCAUCUGCUCCAGUGGUUUUCUUUACAAACCUGUCAAACAGCUUGACGGGUGAUAUACUGUCUAAACUUCCUUACUGCUCUCUAUUCUUCCUGCAGUGUAAAAGUUAAAACCAACUUAAGUUCGAUUACAUAAAUCUGACCCCAAGCACUUGUGUCCCCAUACCCUUAUGUGCAACUUCACAAAUGUCAAAUUAAGCAUGUCCCCUGAGAUUAAGUUUAGACCAAACAGGACUGAUGUUUUCCCCCAGCAUGCCUCUUUCCCCAACGGCCAACAGAGGAGCAUGGGAACUCUGAAAACAAGCUGGGAUAUAUUCCUGCACGCAGGCGAUGGAUCUUUAUGAAAAACAAACACCAGCGUAUCAGUUCGCACAAUGUUGCCGACAAAACCCCCUACUGAUAAACAUUGCGUUUGGAUGAAAAAGAGUCCAUUAAAAGAAUUGUUGGAGUAAAAGAUGGAGGUGGAUUCAUAGGCUAGACAAAUAAACAAGACCUGCAGUUUGACAAAGGGAGUCUCGCCCGGCCUGACGAGGCACUUCCCUGGUGACAUCACACUCAUGUGAUGAAUUACCUGGCAGGUAAAACAAAGGCAGCUUAUAGGGGACAGGGGGGAGGAGGGCAUGGAAAGGUUACUAGCGGUCAAACACAGUUGUCUAGGAUGAAACAUGCAGUGCCGGUUCAGUCAAGCUUUUUACACUGCUAAUCUUAGAAACACGCAACUGUGCUGAUGCAGUUAGUCACCACCAACAAACCCUGGCACACUAUGUGCUCUUCAACAGCUUAC